rnacentral:lncRNA from 1 species
CUUGUCAGAAUUACUUCCAGUGGAGCUCGUAAUAUAGGCUUUUACUACGGUUUGGGUGCUCUUAUUAUGCUGAAGAAAUUCCUCCAAGUGAACCCCUAAUGCUGUAUCCUAAACAGACACAGCAAAGGUCCCUUUUCUAUAUUUGAAUCGGCUAAACUUUUAUAUGUUGAUUGUCUUUUACUUGGGCUUUUGGCAUCUAGUGUCUGCAAAAGGUCUAAAUGGCUUCUGAGGUUUUGGUAUCAUAUAAGGAAGUAAAGCUUAUAUAUUUUCAGAAAUUUUAGCAUUUUUAGAUGAGCAAUGCAUUAACAUUUGUGAAUUGACCCAAGAAAUGACACUGCUCAUCUUAAUCUGUGGAUCAUAAAGGGAGAAGAUGCCAUUCACCUGCAGAUCUGAGUCAUUUCUAAGACUCUAAAAAAUAAUUUAGCGCUACAACAAAUAUUCAUAUUACAUUAUCCUCCUUAUUGAGUGUUUAUUGGAUCCCUAUUCCAAAAUUACUUAGUAGUACUAUUGUUAUUAUAUAAUUGUUGUUGCCAUUAACAGCAGCAGAAUUGUGAUUGUUGUUAUUAUUGAGGACUUUCUGUUGUUCUAUGAAUCCACUUAUUUUUUAGUGUCUCCAAUUAUUCUUACAAUUGCUUCAUGCUAACAUGUCUCAUGAAGACCUAGCCGUUUCCCAUAAUGUUCCUUUACUAUUUUGCAUGGCUUUAUACUCAGCUUCUCAAUUAGUUUAUUCUUGAUAGUUUUAUCUAUAAUGUUAUGUUCCAUUAUAUUCUAUUGUUUGUAAUCUUGUGCUUUCUUGUUCUAUAAACUUAACCAAGGGUAACAAACAAGAUGCUGGCUAAGGUAGAAAACGAGUAGCCCAACAUGUUAUAUAGAGUAAACAGGAAUUUCAUGUCCGUGCUUGACAUGAGUGAUGAUUCAAAGCAUAAAUUUGAGAAACAAGUUUAUCAGUUUCUCUCUGCUUAUUGGUUAGGUUGAUCAUAUUUGUAGUGUUUAGUCAAUAUCUAGGUUGAAUUACUGGGCAGACAAAUUGAACUGCAAUUUCUUGGAUGACCACACUGUAAAUUGACAUAGAAAAAAGAUGUCUGCUAAUCGUCUCAAAUUGUUGUUUCAUGAACAAGGCUGAUUUCUAACCAAAGACACUUAGAUUUGAUAUGAAAGAAAGUUCUUCCAAUAAUCUUUAUGAAGCCAAUCUUAAAUCUCAAUGGUCAAAUAGAUGGUCUUGGAUGAAGAGAUGGCUCAAGUAUGAAAGAUCAUAAUGUGUGGCAGUCCAAAUUGCUUUUAAUGCAUUGGUUUCAUCAGAAAACAAGGAUGGUUAUAGCCAAUAGCUUGCAGUCGAACAUAAGGAACUCCUUUUCUUUUGUUUUUUAAACAUACAGACAACUCAAUAAUACCAUUUCUCAAGAAGCUUUAGAGGCAUAUCUCUUUGUGUGCGUGUGCGUGUGUUUUUUUUUUAAUUUUUAGUUUGGCAUUGUAGCAAGCUAGAGCUAAAAUAGUUAUCAUUGUUUUUCUCAGUGAUGUUAGAGAAGGUUAGGAAAUGCAUGACAGACAAGGGAAGCUUUAACCUAUUCCUAAUUAUCUAAACAAGAAAAUAACUAAUGGCUAUUAGGUGAGCAGAGAUCAUCAGGAUAUGCCUCUAAGAAAACCUUAUAAAUAUAGAAAAAUACAAUUUGCCACUCUCUCAUCUUUCCUGUUUAGGAUGCCAGUUGCCUUAUUGUUCAUUUGACAGUAUUAUCUGCAAGAAAACAAAUUACUUGAUUAGGUACUAGAAACAUUCAAUCUUUUAUUUAAAAUCAUAAAAAAGACUGGAUAAUUAAUUGGGUAUAGAAGAAAAUGUAGCAAGUACUUGAACCUUUUCGACCAUUUUCUCAAUCAUUCUCUUUUGUUGUGGAUAGGAAAGUUAUGUAUUUCUUUCUUAAUUUCUAUAUAAUUGUGAAGCAUUUCUAGACAAAUAUACUAAUAAGUUUAUAUAUAUUCACCAAAUCUGAUGGGCCUUUGGCUUAGUUUUCUUUUACCUAUUACUAUUAUAAUUUACUCCUUUGUCAUCUGAAGUUGAUUGCAAGUGACCUGCCCUUAUCAAUAGAGUAUCUUUGUUAAAAUAGUGCACUAGUCCAACUUCAUACCUAUUAUAUAUUGAAACUUCCAGUGGCUUCUGCUUUCCACUUUCACUUGCAUUGUCUAAACCCCUAAUCAUGUAGCAGUGAGCUCAGCAUGCAUGCUCAGGAUGAUAUGACCCUUUCUUUGUGUAGUUUUCCUUUUGUAAAAUAGGCUUCUAUAUUUUUAUCAUCUCGAAUGAGCUGAGCAUGUUAGCACCUGAUUUACUGUAAUCACGCAAGUAGUUAUGGUAUUAAUUUGGUUAUCACUUUCAAAUCUUACUCCAGGGAAUCUGCAAAUAGUAGUCAAACCUUAAUUUUUGAAAUGUACUAAACAAAUGUUAAAAUAUAUACUUAUGGUUGAUGACCUAUUUCUGGGACUUGAAUGGUUGACAAGGGAAGGAAGUAUGAUGCGGACUCUAUAAUUCUUUUAUUAUAUUGUUUCAAACUUUUAAAGAUUGAUCUAGUUGUACCUGCUAUGAUUAAUAGUGUCACAAUUGACUCUACCAGUUCAGGUCUACAUUCUAAGAUAUGCAGUUUAUCUGAGAUUUUUGGCUGUUGAUUUAGAUGCUUGCCUGAAAUGCAUCUUAAAACUGUGUUCUAUACUUCAAACUUCGCAGAGAUUUAGAUUUUUGAUGAUCUAAAUUCUCCAUCUGGGAUCCAUUUAUGGGCCACAUUGAGUUUGAGUAGCACUUUCCUUUCGCAUACAAAUGCAUCAAAAGUUAAAUUUAGAUGUAGAGGCAAUUUGCAAUAUGUACACGUUAAAUAUUCCAAUCGGUCAUUGCACUUUUGUAACUACGAACACAUGUAGGGGGCAUUUGGUUGCCUGCAACUGAAAAUUUCUGUAAAUAACACUUCAGGUAGAAGCAAAAUCUGCAAGGAGUAACUGCUGGCACAGCUGUUUGGAUACAUGCAUAUCAAGUUGCUACUCGUGGUUGCAAGUUGCAACUAAGGUAGAAGACAUGCUAUCCAAACUGGAAGAUUGACUGGCCAGAACAGCUGGGGCUAUUCUGCUAUGAUAAAUGGUAACUUUGAGUCUGCAUGAUUUCAAAGAAUUGGCAGGAGAUGAUAAUGUAUGCCUUUAGUAUUUUGGUGUUUGAUUGUGUCACUGGAUUGCGGAACUUACUCUCUUUGCCGUAGACUAAUAUCUUGAUUUGGCAGGGAUAAACUAUUGUGCCGACAGAGUAUAUGGCAGGUAGAUAUGCUUUUCAUGGGGCCCUGAGGAAAUAGAGAAAAAAGGUAUAUGCUACAUUGUUCUGGUAUUUGUAGGUGGCUAAUAAAUUCGUGCUUCGAUGAACAAUUAUUAUGUAGAUGUGUGUUUGUACCUAUGUCUGAAUACGUCUAGGUACAGAUGGAUGUUGUUUCAAUUAGCUUGUGGGUCACUCUUGAUGGUUGAUGCUGAUCAAGUUUUCAGGAUUGUGUUCUCUGCUUCACAAAUUGCUGACAAAUAUUUAUGGUGCUCUAGAAGUUGUGCAUGAUAAUGGUGGGAGGGGGAUCCACUACCAUCGGGAAGGGGACUGUAAGAUGAGAGGCUCUUUGUUCCUUGUCUCUUCCAAGAAGAUGAGUUCCACCAUGCAGCCCAGGUACAGAUUCAAAGUUCUCUCCCAAAGAUAACAUGGUCAUCCUGAUGACCUAUGAACCUCGUGUGUCUGCUCUAUGAGAGAGUAGGAGAGUUGGUUUGAGGAUACAAAACAUUAGGCUUUGCCUUAUAAUAUUUACCUAGCAAGAUUUCAAAUAUAAGUUGGAUUGGCAUGUAUCAAUUGGUAUUUGUUGGCCCAACAAAGUAGCAAAACCUGUAUAUGAUUCGGAAGGAGCUCUGUGUUUGUACUCUUAGUAAGCUCGUCUUAGUUAU